AUGCUCACUUCCGCCACCGCUCCCCCCUCCUCUUCCUCCUGCUCGUCCCACGCUCCCACCCGCUUCGCCUCCGCGCGCGGGCGACGCCUCCGCCCCGUGCUCGCCAUGGCCGCCUCCGACGACCCCCGCGCCAGGUCGGUCGCUGUCGUCGGCGCCGGCGUCAGUGGUCUCGUGGCGGCGUACAGGCUGAGGAAGAGCGGCGUGCGGGUCACCGUGUUCGAGGCGGAAGACCGCGCGGGAGGGAAGAUACGGACCAACUCCGACGGCGGAUUCCUCUGGGACGAAGGAGCCAACACCAUGACAGAAAGUGCAUUGGAGGCUAGUAGACUAAUCGACGAUCUUGGUCUUGAGGACAGACUGCAGUAUCCUAACUCCCAGCACAAGCGUUAUACUGUUAAGAAUGGAGCGCCAGCACUGAUCCCUUCAGAUCCCAUUGCGCUAAUGAAAAGCACUGUUCUUUCUACAAAAUCAAAGUUCAAGUUAUUUCUGGAACCAUUUCUCUAUGAAAAAUCUAGCACAAGGAACUCCAAAAAAGUGUCUGACGAGCAUUUGCGCGAGAGCGUUGGGAGUUUUUUUGAACGCCAUUUUGGAAAAGAGGUUGUUGACUAUCUUAUUGAUCCAUUUGUAGCUGGAACAAGUGCAGGAGAUCCCGAGUCAUUAUCUAUUCGUCAUGCAUUUCCAGGGUUAUGGAAUUUAGAAAAGAAGUAUGGUUCUCUCAUCGUUGGUGCCAUCUUGUCAAAACUAACAGCUAAAGGUGAUUCAGCAAAGAAAGGAGGCGCUUCGUCAGGAAAAGGAAGGAGCAAGCGGGCCUCAUUUUCUUUUCAUGGUGGUAUGCAGACACUAGUAGAUGCUUUGCACAAGGAGGUUGGAGAUAAUAAUGUGAAGCUUGGAACACAAGUGUUGUCAUUGGCGUGUAAGUGCGAUGAACUAUCUGCAUCAGAUGGGUGGUCAAUUUUUGUGGAUUCAAAAGAUGCUACUAGUAAGGGACUUGCAAAGAACCAGUCCUUUGAUGCUGUUAUAAUGACAGCUCCACUGUCCAAUGUCCAGAGGAUGAGGUUCACAAAAGGCGGAGCUCCCUUUGUGCUAGACUUUCUUCCUAAGGUGGAUUAUCUGCCAUUGUCCCUCAUGGUAACAGCAUUUAAGAAGGAAGACGUCAAAAGACCCCUGGAAGGAUUUGGGGUCUUGAUACCCUUUAAGGAACAACAAAAACAUGGUUUGAAAACGCUUGGAACUCUCUUCUCCUCUAUGAUGUUCCCAGAUCGAGCUCCUAAUGACCAGUACUUGUUUACGACAUUCAUUGGGGGAAGCCACAAUAGAGAUCUCGCUGCUGCUCCAACGGCUACCUUGAAACAAUUUGUGACAUCUGACCUUACAAAGCUACUGGGGGUAGAGGGGCAGCCAACUUUUGUGAAACAUAUACAUUGGAGAGAUGCUUUUCCUUUGUAUGGCCAUGAUUAUGAUUCGGCACUGGAAGCUAUAGGAAAGAUGGAAAGUGAUCUUCCAGGGUUCUUCUAUGCAGGAAAUAACAAGGAUGGGUUGGCUGUUGGAAAUGUCAUAGCUUCAGGAAGUAACACAGCGGACCUUGUGAUCUCAUACCUUGAGUCAGGCAUCAAGCAAGCUAGUUAA
rnacentral:rRNA from 1 species